rnacentral:rRNA from 1 species
AACGAACGCUGGCGGCAGGCUUAACACAUGCAAGUCGAGCGCCCCGCAAGGGGAGCGGCAGACGGGUGAGUAACGCGUGGGAAUCUACCCAUCUCUACGGAAUAACGCAUGGAAACGUGUGCUAAUACCGUAUACGUCCUUCGGGAGAAAGAUUUAUCGGAGAUGGAUGAGCCCGCGUUGGAUUAGCUAGUUGGUGGGGUAAAGGCCUACCAAGGCGACGAUCCAUAGCUGGUCUGAGAGGAUGAUCAGCCACACUGGGACUAAGACACGGCCCAGACUCCUACGGGAGGCAGCAGUGGGGAAUAUUGGACAAUGGGCGCAAGCCUGAUCCAGCCAUGCCGCGUGAGUGAUGAAGGCCCUAGGGUUGUAAAGCUCUUCCACCGGUGAAGAUAAUGACGGUAACCGGAGAAGAAGCCCCGGCUAACUUCGUGCCAGCAGCCGCGGUAACAC